rnacentral:rRNA from 1 species
GUGCAGCAGGCGAGAAAACUUUACAAUGCGGGCAACCGCGAUAAGGGGACCUCGAGUGCUGGGUUACAAACCUGGCUGUUGGGCUGCCUAAAAAGCAGUCUAUAGCAAGGGCCGGGCAAGACCGGUGCCAGCCGCCGCGGUAACACCGGCGGCUCGAGUGGUAACCGCUAUUAUUGGGUCUAAAGGGUCUGUAGCCGGCCGACUAAGUCUCUUGGGAAAUCUGGCAUCUCAAGUGUCAGGCUGCCAGGGGAUACUGGUCGGCUUGGGACCGGGAGAGGUGAGAGGUACCUCGGGGGUAGGGGUGAAAUCUUGUAAUCCUCGAGGGACCACCAGUGGCGAAGGCGUCUCACCAGAACGGAUCCGACGGCAAGGGACGAAAGCUAGGGGCACGAACCGGAUUAGAUACCCGUGUAGUCC